GAUGAACGCUGGCGGCGUGCUUAACACAUGCAAGUCGAACGGUGAACACGGAGCUUGCUCUGUGGGAUCAGUGGCGAACGGGUGAGUAACACGUGAGCAACCUGCCCCUGACUGUGGGAUAAGCGCUGGAAACGGCGGCUAAUACUGGAGAUGUGACGUGACCGCAUGGUCUGCGUUUGGAAAGAAUGUUCGGGUGGGAUGGUCUCGCGGCCUAUCAGCUUGUUGGUGAGGUAUUGGAGCCCCAAGGCGUCGACGGGUAGCCGGCCUGAGAGGGUGGCCGGCCACCCUGGGACUGCGACACGGCCCAGACUCCUACGGGACGCAGCAGUGGGGAAUAUUGCGCAAUGGGCGCACGCCUGAUGCGGCAACGCCGCGUUCGUGAUGCCGGCCUUCGGGUUGUAAACCUAUUUUAGAGGAAAAGUACCGAAAGUGACGGUACCUGCAGAAAAAGCGCCGGCUAACUACGUG
rnacentral:rRNA from 1 species